UGCGUAGGCGGCUUGGUGGGUCUGGUGUGAAAGCCCCGGGCUCAGCCCGGGAAGGGCACUAGAAACUGCCAAGCUGGAGUGCCGGAGGGGAGAGUGGAAUUCCUGGUGUAGCGGUGAAAUGCGUAGAUAUCAGGAGGAAUACCGGUGGCGAAAGCGACUCUCUGGACGGCAACUGACGCUGAGGCACGAAAGCGUGGGGAAGCAAACA
rnacentral:rRNA from 1 species